rnacentral:lncRNA from 1 species
UAUUUGAACAUAUCCCCUUCAUGCACCCUUAUUUCAAAUAAGGGCGUGCAAAGGGCGUUUGUGUUGUAUUUACACCCUUUGAAUAAAAAAUUGUCAGAAAUAAGGGUGUACCAAGGGUGUUUCAGUGAUUGAAACACCCAUAUGGGUGUGAAAAGGUUUACAGUGUACCACUACUACAGAGUGCAA